GAUGAACGCUGGCGGCGUGCCUAAUACAUGCAAGUCGAGCGAACAGACGAGGAGCUUGCUCCUCUGACGUUAGCGGCGGACGGGUGAGUAACACGUGGAUAACCUACCUAUAAGACUGGGAUAACUUCGGGAAACCGGAGCUAAUACCGGAUAACAUGUUGAACCGCAUGGUUUAACAGUGAAAGACGGUCUUGCUGUCACUUAUAGAUGGAUCCGCGCCGCAUUAGCUAGUUGGUAAGGUAACGGCUUACCAAGGCAACGAUGCGUAGCCGACCUGAGAGGGUGAUCGGCCCAACUGGAACGGGGACACGGUCCAGACCCCUAGGGGAGGCAGCAGUAGGGAAUCUGCCGCAAUGGGCGAAAGCCUGACGGAGCAACGCCGCGUGAGUGAAGAGGGUCUUCGGAUCGUAAAACUCUGUUAUUAGGGAAGAACAAAUGUGUAGUAACUAUGCACGUCUUGACGGUACCUAAUCAGAAAGCCACGGCUAACUACGUG
rnacentral:rRNA from 1 species